rnacentral:rRNA from 1 species
AACGUACGCUGGCGGCACGCCUAACACAUGCAAGUCGAACGCAGUAGCAAUACUGAGUGGCAGACGGGUGAGUAACAUGUGGGAAUCUGCCUUGUGGUUCAGGACAACAUUGGGAAACCGAUGCUAAUACUGGAUAAGCCCUUACGGGGAAAGUUUUAAUGCCAUAAGAUGAGCCCGCAUUUGAUUAGUUAGUUGGUGAGGUAAUGGCUCACCAAGACAAUGAUCAAUAGCUGAUCUGAGAGGAUGAUCAGCCACACUGGGACUGAGACACGGCCCAGACUCCUACGGGAGGCAGCAGUGGGGAAUCUUGCACAAUGGAGGAAACUCUGAUGCAGCGAUGCCGCGUGAGUGAAGAAGGCCUUUGGGUUGUAAAGCUCUUUUGUAGGGGAAGAUAAUGACUGUACCCUAAGAAUAAGGUCCGGCUAACUUCGUGCCAGCAGCCGCGGUAAUACGAAGGGACCUAGCGUAGUUCGGAAUUACUGGGCGUAAAGCGCGCGUAGGCCGUUGAGUUAGUUAAUUGUGAAAUCCCAAAGCUUAACUUUGGAACUGCAAUUAAAACUGCUCGACUAGAGUUUGAUAGAGGAAAGCGGAAUACAUAGUGUAGAGGUGAAAUUCGUAGAUAUUAUGUAGAACACCAGUUGCGAAGGCGGCUUUCUGGAUCAACACUGACGCUGAGGCGCGAAAGUAUGGGUAGCAAAGAGGAUUAGAUACCCUCGUAGUCCAUACCAUAAACGAUGAUUGCUAGAUGUUGGAAAUUUAUUUUCAGUAUCGCAGCUAACGCAUUAAGCAAUCCGCCUGGGGAGUACGACCGCAAGGUUAAAACUCAAAUGAAUUGACGGGGACCCGCACAAGCGGUGGAGCAUGUGGUUUAAUUCGAAGAUACGCGCAGAACCUUACCAACCCUUGACAUGUCUGUCGCGAGUUUAGGAAACUAGACU